AAGACUAUACUUUCAGGGAUCAUUUCUAUAGUUCGUUACUAAAGAUACCGAGGAAUAAACCUAACUAAGGAGGUAAAAGAUCUGUAUGCUGA
rnacentral:snoRNA from 1 species